rnacentral:rRNA from 1 species
ACACUCCUGCGGGAGGCAGCAGUGAGGAAUAUUGGACAAUGGGUGGAAGCCUGAUCCAGCCAUCCCGCGUGCAGGAAGACGGCCCUAUGGGUUGUAAACUGCUUUUAUCUGGGGAUAAACCUACUUACGUGUAAGUAGCUGAAGGUACCAGAAGAAUAAGCACCGGCUAACUCCGUGCCAGCAGCCGCGGUAAUACGGAGGGUGCAAGCGUUAUCCGGAUUUAUUGGGUUUAAAGGGUCCGUAGGCGGACUGAUAAGUCAGUGGUGAAAUCCGACAGCUUAACUGUCGAACUGCCAUUGAUACUGUUAGUCUUGAGUAAGGUUGAAGUGGCUGGAAUAUGUAGUGUAGCGGUGAAAUGCAUAGAUAUUACUUAGAACACCAAUUGUGAAGGCAGGUCACUAAGUCUUAACUGACGCUGAUGGACGAAAGCGUGGGGAGCGAACAGGAUUAGAAACCCCUGUAGUCCCAU